GACGAACGCUGGCGGCGUGCUUAACACAUGCAAGUCGAGCGGAAAGGCCACUUCGGUGGUACUCGAGCGGCGAACGGGUGAGUAACACGUGAGUAAUCUGCCCUUGGCUUUGGGAUAGCCACCGGAAACGGUGAUUAAUACCGGAUACGACCACUUCUCGCAGGGGAUGGUGGUGGAAAGGUUUUCGGCCAGGGAUGUGCUCGCGGCCUAUCAGCUUGAUGGUGAGGUAAUGGCUCAACAUGGCUUCGACGGGUAGCCGGCCUGAGAGGGUGACCGGUCACACUGGGACUGAGACACGGCCCAGACUCCUACGGGAGGCAGCAGUGGGGAAUAUUGGACAAUGGGCGGAAGCCUGAUCCAGCAACGCCGCGUGAGGGAUGACGGCCUUCGGGUUGUAAACCUCUUUCGGUAGGGACGAAGCGCAAGUGACGGUACCUACUAAAGAAGCACCGGCCAACUACGUGCCAGCAGCCGCCGUAAAAC
rnacentral:rRNA from 1 species